GUCCCUGUAGCGCAAUGGAUAGCGCCUUGGACUUCUAUUCCAAAGGUUGUGGGUUCGAAUCCCACCUGGGAUG
rnacentral:tRNA from 1 species